GACGAACGCUGGCGGCGUGCUUAACACAUGCAAGUCGAACGCUGAAGCCCUUUCGGGGGUGGAUGAGUGGCGAACGGGUGAGUAACACGUGGGUAAUCUGCCCUGUACUUCGGGAUAAGCCUUGGAAACGGGGUCUAAUACCGGAUAGGACCUGUCCUCGCAUGGGGGUGGGUGGAAAGUUCCGGCGGUAUGGUGGGAGCCCGCGGCCUAUCAGCUUGUUGGUGGGGUAGUGGCCUACCAAGGCGAAGACGGGUAGCCGGCCUGAGAGGGUGACCGGUCACACUGGGACUGAGACACGGCCCAGACUCCUACGGGAGGCAGCAGUGGGGAAUCUUGCGCAAUGGGCGAAAGCCUGACGCAGCAACGCCGCGUGGGGGAUGACGGCCUUCGGGUUGUAAACCUCUUUCGACAUCGACGAAGGGGCCCUGUUGUGGGGUUUUGACGGUAGGUGUAGAAGAAGCACCGGCUAACUACGUGCCAGCCGCCGCAGUAA
rnacentral:rRNA from 1 species